rnacentral:misc_RNA from 1 species
UUCGGUGCGACAGAGCCAGCCCUGCGGUCACCAACCCGCCUGCCCAGCGUGCGCGAACUUGGGGAGGCUUAUUUCCAGCAGUGGACUGCGAUAGGCUGAAGGGAUGUAAACCUAUCUCGUCUGUAAAGUUACGCUUCUAUUUGACGGAUACUUUGUAUAUAGCUUAGAUAUAGUAUGUUACUACAUACAGUAGAUAUGUGAUUGAAUUUAACGCCUCUCGCUUAUAUCCACUUUGUGUUACUAUUAAGGGCUUGUUUCACCAGUUUUUGAUAAAUUUUAUCCUGCACAUACAAUACGAAUGGAAUUUAACGGCUGGAAGUAAAAUAGGCCAUUAGUGUUCAUUCAUCUCAAAGAAUAAACUAUUUUUAGCUUUACAAAUGUGUUUACAAAUAUCCCGUCAGUUGGAAUUCGGUGGUCAAAAAUAAUGAGAAUAAAUAUCUUUAUCAUAAACUUUUAUCUGUUGGAUAACGUUAUACGUUAUAUAGCUUUAACGGCAAACGGUGUAACAGGCCCGAAACAUUUCCUAUAUAUAUGUGUGUGUAUGAUUGUGUUCUUAUUUUGUUCAUGUGUGGUGUUGAUUUCAUAGCUAGAGAUAUUAUGACGGGUCCUAAGGACAAAAUUGUAUUUUAAACUAAUUGAAUUAUUUAUUGUAUACUAUCUGACCAUAUGGAAUUUAAUUUGUUAUAAAUAUCUUGUUCUAUAAAUAAUUGAAGGAUUGAUUAGAGUAAUUAAAAUAACUUGCUGCUGGUUAAGUUGAAGCCUUUUUUAAUAAUGAACGAACCUUUUCGAGCCACGUGUAACAAAGGUUAUAAAUAAUAAUAAAAUAUGAAUUUAAAUUAAAAAGUGACAAGCGCCUAAAUAAUUACAAGACUUUGAGAUUGAGAGUAAUUGCUCGUCAAUACCGAGACACUCCAACAAUAAUAAACAAAAAAUUUAGCUGUCAUUCGGACAUUAUAAGCGUACAUACAUUUUAGCCAUACAUUUUUAUUUGUAUAGAUAUAAAUAUAAAUAAAUAAUUUUGUUUUAAGGAGGCCGUCGAAUAAAAAAAAAACUGUGUUGCCAUAAACAAUGUUUCUUUCUUUGUUUUUUUUUUUAUAUAUCCAGUCAAGAUGUUUUAAAUAAGCAUAUGUAUGAUAAAAAAAAACUAUUUUAUUACUA